rnacentral:rRNA from 1 species
GACGUAGGGGGCCAGCGUUGCUCGGAAUUACUGGGCGUAAAGGGUCCGUAGGCGGUGCGGUAAGUCGGGAGUGAAAUCUCUGGGCUUAACUCAGAGGCUGCUUCCGAAACUACCGUGCUAGAGUGCGAGAGAGGCAAGUGGAAUUGCGGGUGUAGCGGUGAAACGCGCAGAUAUCAGGAGGAACACCGGUGGCGAAGGCGGGUCUCUGGGCCGAUACUGACGCUGAGGAGCGAAAGCGUGGGGAGCGAACAGG